rnacentral:rRNA from 1 species
UAGGGAAUCUUCCGCAAUGGGCGAAAGCCUGACGGAGCAACGCCGCGUGAGUGAUGAAGGUCUUCGGAUCGUAAAACUCUGUUAUUAGGGAAGAACAAAUGUGUAAGUAACUAUGCACGUCUUGACGGUACCUAAUCAGAAAGCCACGGCUAACUACGUGCCAGCAGCCGCGGUAAUACGUAGGUGGCAAGCGUUAUACGGAAUUAUUGGGCGUAAAGCGCGCGUAGGCGGUUUUUUAAGUCUGAUGUGAAAGCCCACGGCUCAACCGUGGAGGGUCAUUGGAAACUGGAAAACUUGAGUGCAGAAGAGGAAAGUGGAAUUCCAUGUGUAGCGGUGAAAUGCGCAGAGAUAUGGAGGAACACCAGUGGCGAAGGCGACUUUCUGGUCUGUAACUGACGCUGAUGUGCGAAAGCGUGGGGAUCAAACAGG